AUGGAUUCUGUUAAGGAGAUUCUUCGGCGGGUCCAUUCAGAGAAGAAACCGUGUGUGGAUGGCGAAUCACACCAGCAUUCCCCAACGUCGAUGCCUGCGGCGGUAUCCAAGGUGCUUGAAGACGACGACCUCCUCAGGGAGAUUAUUGUCCGUGUCGGCUUCCCCACCACCCUCGUACGUGCUUCCCUCGUCUGCAAGCGCUGGUACCACCACAUCUCUGACCGCCGGUUCCUCCGCCGCUUCCGCGAGCGCCACCCGCCCCGCCUCCUUGGCUUUUGCCAUGUCCCCGAAGAUGAAUGUUCACAGUUGUCCUGUCCACGCUUCGUCCCUAUUUCGCCUCAGCCCCCAGAGCUCGCUGCCAUGGUCAGCCGCGUGGCGAGCUACAGCUUUGGCGUCGACGGCGACGAAUGGAUCAGGGAGUGCCGGCGCGGCAGUGUCUUGACCGGACGCUAUGAAGGAUUAUUAUGGAGACAUAGAGUGCACCACCCACUGUGCUCUGGGAGAGACAUGGACAUCCUCCCACCACUCCCAAGCGUCCAGAAGUCCAGGUACCACAUGUUCACUACAAUCCUCUCCAAAGAAGAUGGCGCCGGCGGCUUGUCCUACAUGUACAUGUUGGUGGAGGGGGUUGAUGAGAAUAAAGUUUUUAGGGUGCGCGUGUAUAUGUUGCAACGCGGUGUCUGGUGCAUGCACACCUCAUCUAUCACACAUAUCCCUCUUCCGCUGUUGCCACGGAAAGUUGUGCUUGUUGACGAUAAAAUCUAUAUAGCUGACAAGUUCAGUGACGACAUUAUUGUCUUGGAUUUGCCAGCCUCAAGUUUCUCCAAAAUUUCGGUCCCACAGGGAGUGCAGUAUCACCAUUAUACCACCAUCUUGUCACGAGCCGAUGAUGCAUCCGGUGUAUAUCUCACCCAUGUUCAUGUCAAGGAGCUUCAGCUUUGUAUCUGGCUCCACAAGGGGCACAACUGGUUGCUGGUCGAUACCAUUUGUUUGCGUCAGAUGUGGGCUAAUUUGAGGAUGCUAGAUCAUACGGUUGAGGAUGAGGAUGUUGAUUUUCACUUCUUAAGCCACGUGGGGGAUAAUGCUGAGUUUGUGUUCUUGGAAAUGUCUAAUUGCACACUCCAUCUGGACGUCACGAGCAGGACACUACGUAAAGUGGAUGGGACGCCGUUAAAGAAUGGACAUUUCGUUGAUGUCCAUCCCUUUAUGAUGAUUUGGCCACCCAAAUUCCCUCUGCUGAAGGAUGCUACUGCAAGAACGACAUGUGAAGGAGGAUAUCAGGAAGCUUUUGGAUGGUCAGCUACAAUGGUGUCGUCAAGGAAGAGCAGGGAGCCGCAUUUCCUUAGUAGCAGUUCGAACAGUCUUUAUUAUAACUCGUAG
rnacentral:rRNA from 1 species